UACGUAGGGUGCGAGCGUUAAUCGGAAUACUGGGCGUAAAGCGUGCGCAGGCGGUGAUGUAAGACCGAUGUGAAAUCCCCGGGCUUAACCUGGGAACUGCAUUGGUGACUGCAUUGCUGGAGUAUGGCAGAGGGGGGGUGGAAUUCCACGUGUAGCAGUGAAAUGCGUAGAGAUGUGGAGGAACACCGAUGGCGAAGGCAGCCCCCCUGGGCCAAUACUGACGCUCAUGCACGAAAGCGUGGGGAGCAAACAGG
rnacentral:rRNA from 1 species